UACGUAGGGUGCAAGCGUUGUCCGGAAUUAUUGGGCGUAAAGAGCUCGUAGGCGGUUUGUCACGUCGGAUGUGAAACCCUGAGGCUCAACCUCAGGCCUGCAUUCGAUACGGGCAGACUAGAAUUCGGCAGGGGAGACUGGAAUUCCUGGUGUAGCGGUGAAAUGCGCAGAUAUCAGGAAGAACAUCGGUGGCGAAGGCGCUCUGCUGGACCAUAACUGACACUCAGGGACGAAAGCUAGGGGAGCGAAUGGG
rnacentral:rRNA from 1 species